CUAUUAUAUAACUGGAUUGGGGAUCGUUUUCUCUCUAAAUAGAACCCUAAAAUUGAAAAUAUCUCCCAAAUCUUUCGAAGCAUCCGAGUCUCUCGCUAUUGUUGUUCGGCGAAGCUAAGUUUGCUUAAUCUCUCAUCUAGUUUGGAGAUGGAUAGAAAGAAGGAAGAAGCUUUGGUCGCGGCCGAGGUCGAAACCGGCGGUUCUGAGGUUAUGAGGUCGACGGCAUCGGCUGUCGAGGAUGCGGAUGAUGAAGUUGACUACGAUGAUGAUUAUUAUGGUGAGAGUGACGGAGAGAGUGGCGAUCCUCUGUCAUCAGACGAAGAAGAAGACAAAGAAGAUUUGCUGGCUGAGAAGCAAUUCGUUAAGGCCCCCAUUGCAGUCUUUUGGGAUGUUCGGAGUUGUGGAAUCCCUGAAGAUUGUGAUGAUUUCUAGGGUCGUAACAAAUGUAAGAUUGGCUCUCAAUAAGAUGAAUUAUCUUGGUAUGAUCCGUUUCUUCGGUUUUGGGGAUUGUUAUCGUACGUACCCCUAGGAAAAUCAAUAACUCCAUUGCUCGCAGCGGAAUCACGUACCUACACGUAAUUGGAAACGGAGAUAAGUAUGCAGACUUUAGCUUUAUAACUGAGGGAAUGUUAUCCCGGGCACAAGAGUUUCCUUCCCCUACAAACUAUCUGCUAAUCUCGGGAGACAGUAAGUUAUCUAUUACUCUUAAUCUAUUGAAGAAGAAAGGGCACAAUAUACUGCUAGCACAGCCUAAUGGAGAAGCAUCAGGGCCUCUAAUUAAGGAUGCAUCAUCUGUGUGGUUCUGGGAUACUCUCAAGCUUGGUGGGAGCCCUCUCAUCCCGAACCAUGCAACUUCGCAUCCCACCUCUAGCCCCGCUCAGCCUGAUGACACUGAUGCACUGAGCCCGAGCCUGAAGCGGCAAAAGUGCUUUUGACAACAUGGAAAUCGAAUCAUAUGAUUAUUUGUGUUCCGCAAACGACAAAACCUGCCUUGUCUUAGUUUCAGUAUUCUAAAUAACCUUUUGACCUGUUUUGAAAACUCGUAUCUAUGACUAUGUUUAAUGUUUUAGCAUCUGUUCCUUGGUUGUGUGAUUCUGAUAACCUGUUUUAGCAUCCCCUCAAAUUUGCUUCGGUUGUGUGAUUCUUAUAACACAUGUUUUAGCAUGUGUUCUCAUAUGCUAACUUCAGAAAUGUGAAUCAGUCCAUUUUCUCUU